rnacentral:rRNA from 1 species
CCUACGGGUGGCAGCAGUGGGGAAUAUUGGGCAAUGGGCGAAAGCCUGACCCAGCAACGCCGCGUGAAGGAAGAAGGCUUUCGGGUUGUAAACUUCUUUUAUACGGGAAUAACGCGCCUUACGUGUAGGGCUUUUCAUGUUCCGUAUUAAGAAGGACCGGCUAAUUCCGUUCCAGCAGCCGCGGUAAUACUGAAGGUCCGGGCGUUAUCCGGAUUUAUUGGGUUUAAAGGGAGCGUAGGCCGCAUGUCAAGCGUGCUGUGAAAUGUCCGGGGUCAACCCGGGCCGUGCAGCGGAAACUGGCGGACUUGAGUACGCGGAAGGCAGGCGGAAUUCGUGGUGUAGCGGUGAAAUGCUUAGAUAUGACGAAGAACCCCGAUUGCGAAGGCAGCUUGCCGGAGCGGAACUGACGCUGAGGCUCGAAAGCGCGGGUAUCAAACAGGAUUAGAUACCCCGGUAGUC